UGAGGAAUAUUGGUCAAUGGGCGAGAGCCUGAACCAGCCAAGUCGCGUGAAGGAUGACUGUCUUAUGGAUUGUAAACUUCUUUUAUACGGGAAUAACAAGAGUCACGUGUGGCUCCCUGCAUGUACCGUAUGAAUAAGCAUCGGCUAACUCCGUGCCAGCAGCCGCGGUAAUACGGAGGAUGCGAGCGUUAUCCGGAUUUAUUGGGUUUAAAGGGUGCGUAGGCGGCCUGUUAAGUCAGCGGUGAAAUCUAGGAGCUUAACUCCUAAAUUGCCAUUGAUACUGGCGGGCUUGAGUGUAGAUGAGGUAGGCGGAAUGCGUGGUGUAGCGGUGGAAUGCAUAGAUAUCACGCAGAACUCCGAUUGCGAAGGCAGCUUACUAAGGUACAACUGACGCUGAAGCACGAAAGCGUGGGUAUCAAACAGGAUUAGAUACCCUGGUAGUCCACGCAGUAAACGAUGAUAACUGGGCGUAUGCGAUAUACAGUAUGCCCCUAAGCGAAAGCGUUAAGUUAUCCACCUGGGGAGUACGCCGGCAACGGUG
rnacentral:rRNA from 1 species